rnacentral:rRNA from 1 species
GACGAAGGAUGCAAGCGUUAUCCGGAUUCAUUGGGUUUAAAGGGAGCGUAGGUGGUCUUCUAAGUCAGUGGUGAAAUCUCUCGGCUUAACUGAGAAAUUGCCAUUGAUACUGGAGGACUUGAGUGUAGUUGCCGUUGGCGGAAUAUGACAUGUAGUGGUGAAAUACAUAGAGAUGUCAUAGAACACCGAUUGCGAAGGCAGCUAACGAAACUAUAACUGACACUGAGGCUCGAAAGUGCGGGGAUCAAACAGG